GGAUGUGAGGGUAAUCCGGAUGCAACAUCUGUCACCACAUUGAACACCAGGGUUGAUUUUUGGGCUGAUCUGGCUGGCCAGGAGGGUGUCCCCUUCCUCCCUCACCACUCUAUGUGUGUUCCUCCUGAAGCUGUGCACUUGGUCAAAGAGGAUGACCAUCCCCAAUAGAGGAGAACUGUUCUUCAGUCAAAGGUAUACAUAGCUGCGCUCCCCUUCUAGAACCUCCAAACAAGCUCUCAAAAAUAACCAACGAAAAAAGAGCUGGAGGUAUGGCUUAAAUGGUAAAGCACCUGCCUAGAAAGAAAAAGUCUUG
rnacentral:snRNA from 1 species